CCGCCUCCGUGGCCGCCAGCGCCAUUUUGAAGCCUGGCGAUUUUGUUAGUUCAGUGAUAACUGAGUCGGCCAUGGCAAGUUUGGGCGGCCCUGGAAGUGAUUCUCGUUUAACCUCCCGGAAGCUGUACCUCUGAGUAGUAAGGGCGGUGACACCAUAGCAACCAAACCCCAAUAAGGAAUGGCCACAAGGCCCUCCAUGGGGCCCGCCUCCUCCGUUACCAAGGCGCGCGGGGCGGAGGCUGAGGCACCUCAAGUCCGCGGGACAGCCGGGAACGUGGAAGGGCUGAGGAGAAUGUCCAGUUAGAAAUGUGGGCCAGUGCUUGAGAGGACAGUGUGGAGGUGACCCGGUGGCCGGGACAGACGGCCCUGAGCUGCCAUUUGGCUGAACUGUUUGGCCUCUAGAACGUGCAUUAUUUAGCAAGCGUUGACCUUCAACUGUGCUAGAUUAUGUUCAAAGUAGAGUUGAGAAAUGUGUUUCAAUGGAGGAAAACAUAGCACGGCGGUCCAGAUGCUGGGGAAGCGCUCGGCAGACAUCGGCUUGACUGCAGCUUCCUGGUAGACUGCAGGUAAUUAAUUGGGCUGCAGGUCAGAGAGUUAGAUGGAGCCGGCUCCUGGCUUUUGCCACCAUUUGGAGAGUGAAUCCAUGGCUGGAACAACUCUGUCUCUCUGCCUUUCGUAGGAAAUGUAAAUAAAUAAAAUAAAACAAUUACCAGAUUUGGGGCCAAUCUGAGACCUGAACAUCAUACAGCUUUACCUGGUGUCUGCAAGCUGUGACUUCCACAGUUCAGAGUGUAGCUGCAAAGACCUCCCCCAGGGCGGCUUAGAUGAAGAGAAUGAAAGCAUCUGGCUUACUACCCCAAGGUUCCCAUAACGAAGAGCCACUUGCCAGGAAUCUAGAGUGUCUUGGUUCCUGAGAGCCGGUCUGUUUGAGUGACAGCAAAAGGAAGAGAGAUGAGCAAUAUUUACCUUGUAUGCUGAGGCUGACCCAGAGAGCGG